AUUAAAUAAAUCAGUGCCUGCAAA
rnacentral:piRNA from 2 species